AUGGAAGCCAAUUCGGUAUAUUUUGCAACAGCCUGCUCUGGGAGAAAAGAGGCCUUUUGAAUAUGUGAGUAGUUGGCUAAGGAGCUGGAGAAUACAUUUGGAAGAGAAAAGGACUUCAGCAACAGUCAAGAAAGAAGUUCAACUGAAGAGGAAUUAAGCUAAAGGACAUCAAGUUUACAUGUAACACC